rnacentral:tRNA from 1 species
UGCCGAAACCCGGGAUCGAACCAGGGACCUUUAGAUCUUCAGUCUAACACUCUCCCAACUGGGCUAUUUCGGC